UGACGCUGGGCGGGACACAUUGGUUCAGCUGGGAGCAUUUAAAUUCCCCUCACUUGGUGUCUAGCUGUCUCUCUGGCAACACCUUCAUAUGCAAGCUCUCACUUAUGUUUGGCUCCUUUCUUCCAUGUUAUCUAACAAGAAGUGUCGGCCCAUUGCCUUUCGCAUUCACACAUUGGGGAAUCCACAAUGCUUGCUGUCUGUCCAUGUGUCCCUACCUCAGCUCCCAUGCCGGACAAUUUUAACGGCCUUGGUCCUGCACUCACAUCUAUACAGUUGACAUCACCAUUGCAUUCGCCCCUGAAGAGUUGGUAUAUCCCAACGAAACGCGUCGGGAAUAUAUAGAUGCAUGAUGUUGAUACAGAUGAUUUUAUGUUUUGUAUAGUGUUUUACUCUUAGAUUCUCAUCAUACUAUCAAGCACCUCCAGUGGUUCAUGUUGUGCAGGACUUGUUUUUAUUUCACGAUAUGCCAAGUAUCAUGAUGUCACGCAUAUGUAAUUUGCAACAUGUUCGAUUUUGUGGAUGCAAUUUUUGUCAUUCAGUAUGCUUGAUAUUAUAUCACAAGGCAUAAUAAAAAAUGCUCCUUGCUAAGACUGCUCAUACACUUCUCAUUGCAAGUCCUCAACCAACUCCCCCUUUUUGUGUUGGAACCCAAUUAAGCAAUACCAUAUACCUUACAUGCUCACGCCGCAUGGUGAUUGGCCUCAUUUAAAGUCCCACUGACCAAACUUUCUUUUUUUCUGCACUUUAAAUAUAUAUCACACAUUCUCUUCAGUCCCUGACCUCAAGAAGCUUACAAUCUAAGGUCACUAACU